UACCAUUGUGAGAGCAAUGUUAAUUUAAAAGAAUAACAAUAAUAGCAAUAAGAAGUCCUGCCCCAGGACAAGAAAAUCUGCUCCCACCUCAGGGCUUUUAAAUUUUGACACAAGAUUGUCAACUAAAGAAAUGAGGAACAACUGGGAAAAGGAAAUCGCAGCUGUGAUUUCUCCUGAACUGGAGCAUCUAGAUAAAACCCUUCCCACCAUGAAUAAUCUCAUCAGCCAAGAUAAGCGUAUCAGCUCUAACCCUGUGGCCAAAAUAAUAUAUGGUGACCCAGUGACCUUCCUGCCCCACCUGCCCCAGAAGAGUGUGGUCCAUUGCUCUAAGAUUUGGAGCUGCAGGAAAAGAAUUACAGUUGAGUACCUCCAGCACAUUGUGGAACAGAAAAACGGCAAAGAAAGAGUGCCCAUCCUCUGGCGUUUCCUGCAGAAGGAAGCAGAGCUGAGGCUGGUAAAGUUCCUGCCUGAGAUUUUGGCCUUGCAAAGGGGUCUAGUGAAGCAGUUCCAGAACGUCCCGCAAGUUGAAUACAACUCCAUCAGAGGCUUCCUCAGCAAGCACAGCUCAGGUGGGUUGAGGCGGCUACUUCAGAACAGAAUCACAGUCUUUCUGUCGACAUGGAACAAACUGAGGAGAUCACUUGAGAUGAACGGCGAGAUCAACCUACCCAAAGCCUACUGCAGCACUGACUUGGAUCUGGAUGCUGAUUUUGAGAUCCUCUUGCCACGCCGACGGGGCCUGGGCCUCUGUGCUACCGCUCUCGUCAGCUACUUGAUUCGCCUACACAAUGAAAUUGUCUACGCCGUGGAAAAACUCCCGGAGGGAAACAACAGCUAUUCCGUGGAUGCCACCGAGGUCACUGACCUGCAUGUCAUCAGUUACGAAGUGGAGCGGGACCUGACUCCACUGAUUCUCUCCAACUGCCAGUACCAGGUGGAGCAGGGCAGAGAGACCCUGCAGGAGUUCGAUCUGGAGAAGAUUCAGCAGCAGAUCGUCAGCCGCUUCAUCCAGGGCAAGCCCCGGCUGAGCCUCAAGGGAAUACCCACUCUGGUCUACAGACACGACCGGAACUAUGAACAUCUCUUUAUGGACAUCAAGAACAAAAUGGCGCAGGACUCCCUCCCCAGCUCGGUCAUUAGUGCCAUCAGUGGACAGCUGCAGUCCUACAGCGAUGCCUGUGAAGCGCUGUCUGUCGUAGAAGUCACUCUGGGGUUUCUGAGCACAGCUGGUGGGGAUCCAAACAUGCACCUGAAUGUGUAUACUCAAGACAUCCUGCAAAUGGGUGAUCAGACGACUCACGUGUUAAAGGCGUUAAACAGAUGCCAGUUAAAACACACCAUUGCCCUCUGGCAGUUCCUAUCUGCUCAUAAGUCUGAACAGCUGCUGCGGCUGCAGAAAGAGCCAUUUGGGGAAAUCAGUUCAAGGUACAAAGUGGAUCUGAGUUCGGAAAAUGCUAAGCUCCUCAGCACAUUCCUAAAUCAGAUUGGCCUAGACGCCUUCCUGCUAGAGCUGCACGAAAUGAUAAUCUUGAAACUAAAGAACCCCCAAACCGAGGGGAGCUUCAACCAUGAGUGGAGCCUGAGAGACACUCUCAUAAGUUACAUGGAAACUAAAGAAAGUGAAAUUCUUCCUGAAAUGGAAUCUCAGUUCCCAGAAGAGAUACUGCUCGCCAACUGUGUCUCAGUGUGGAAAACAGCUGCUGUGCUGAAACGGAAUCGACAAAUCAGAUAGAAUUAUUUCUUCAGCUAUCUUUGGAUGACUUUGGAGAGAAGACUCUCCUCGUCUGCGGCGUGGACUUCAUCACGUACUGGUGCCUUUGCAUUCAGAAGGAGAGCUGUCAGCAUAGCACCAAAUUCAAGACCAAAGCGUGCUACCUGAGCUGACAGCUUUUUCAAAGCUGAGCUGUUUCUGAACCAUGUAUAUACAUGUUCUGAAACUUUCUCAUCAUGAGUACUGUUCACUGGGAGAUAACAAUGAAGAUUAGAUGAAAUUGGAAAUAAACCAACAUUGUUUACAUUCCAGGAGUCAUAUAGCUCAGCCACACACGCAGUAAUGAUCUGUGCACGCUCGCCUCUGGCACUGCCCACCCCUCUUUUUUUUUUUUUUCUUCUAAUUCUGUACUCACAAAAGAGAAUCUCAUUUUCUUCUUUCUUCCAUUCCCUUAAAUUCUGAGUAUUGUACAUAUAUUUCUGGGUUCCCAAGAUGAUGUGAAAAACUACCAGACUGUUUUUUGUCUUCUCACAAAAACAAGAAAAAUCAGGGCAUUUUGUGAGUGCCUUAAGAUCAAACUAACAAGAUCUGACCCUCACCCUCACAAUGAGUCACUGCCCCACUUCAGAGGGUAAGAGCCAAAAGCCUCAUUGUGAAAAGCACUGGACUUGGACCAGAGACACCAUCAGGGCCUUGGUUUUCUCAUGCAUAAAAUGGAGAGUGGAUUAAUCGCCAAAGAUUCUUCCGAUCUGAUAUUUUGAAAUUAUAAGAGAAACGAGAUGACUGUAAACUUGGUCACAGGCCUGGUUCCGGCAGUUCUUUGCGGACUUUUUUCUAGCGUUAUGCCAAAUAAACAUGCAGUCUCAGUGUGCUCUAGCAUGUAUGAAUAUCUAGUCCUUUCUGUGGUUCUCAGCCAAGACAUAAAAACUAGGACUCAGAGUGCAUACAAAACCAGUUACGUUUCGGAAAGAGGGAAAAGAGUCCCCGAGCCCGAAUCUUGUGCUGCUUUUCUCACUGAAGUGUUGCCUUUUUUCUUUCCAAAAUCUGCUUUGAUACUUAGGACCUCUCUGGACUAACUUCUCUUCCUAGACAGCUCAGCACAGCUAUUGAUAUGUUAGAGGCAGUAUCCUUAAUAUUCAUUCUAAAUGAGUUAAUGACUUAACUUGAAAUUGGGCCUAAGGAGUGAGAGCUACAAAAAUACAAAAUGCUUAUCCAGGACUCAGCCAUGCACACCUUGAGCAGCGCUGGCAGGAGCCACGGAAGGAACUGUGCUCCGUUCUCCUCACUGUGAUGGUGCCGCCACAGCGUCUGACGAAGGGAGAGUGACCCAGACUGCAGGCAGUAACUGACUUCACACAGUCCCUGGCAUUUAGUCAUCUGUGAUUGUUUUAUCACUCUGGACUGUGCAGAGCCACCUGCCACCGAGAUCUGCAUUCCGACUGCCUAUGAACGGGUGUGGGGGCCGGGGGCCAGCUUGCUGAAGUCUUCAACUUGCACUCGGAGCUCCUUUGAUACCUCAGAGCUGGCCGUCAGGUGGCAGCUCACACCCAGACUCACUGGCCACACCUCAGCAGGACCCAGACUCACUGGCCACACCUCAGCAGGACCCAGACUCACUGGCCACACCUCAGCAGGGGGGAGUCGAGUGUCAGUCUCUUGCUGUGAAGGCUUUUUUUUUCCUUUGGCCUGGGAAUUUUUCCCAUUUUUAUGAAGAAGUUUUAAAUUGUUUCAUUUUGUGUGCUGUGCUUCAAAGCCUUAACUGUCAAAUCUUGCAUUAUCUUGUUUGUACAGAAAUAUACUGGCCUAGCAGAGGCAAAAAAAAAAAAAAGAAUUUUAUUUUACUUGUCAUACCUGUCUUAAUAAACUGGAGUUUUGCUGCUAAAGAA
rnacentral:sRNA from 1 species